GGAAGUGACACAUUGUUUGGCCAAGAAAGUGUGUCACUUCCGGCUAUCAUAACCGUUCAGCCGUUAAUUAGUCGUUUGCAAACACUUUGGAAUUUUCUCAAGUGUUCCAGUUGGGUCCAAAGUUUUUGGAAAUAUGCACGUCUUCUAAACAGAGAACCCUGGCACCGCCGCUGCUAUAUACAUGGAACUCAUCACCUCCUGUGCACCAGAAGUCCUUUCCUGUUAGGACUGAUCAACAUGUUCAAAACAAAGUCCAAGAUGUCUUCAACCACAACUUUUACAAGUGUGCAGGCCUUGAAACGGGGCCAAGCCAGACGAGUCCAGGUCGGGACGGGGCAGACUUGAUGAGCGGGGGCGAGGAAAGUCACCAGAGGGGUUCUAUGAUGAAGGGGUUUGCGUGCAAUGAAGGAUCAGCGCCUCCAGUAACAUAUGAAGACCAGCUGAGACAAACCUCAAAUGACCUCAAACGGCAUGCCUCCUUAUGACGGGAAACCCUCAGUCACAGAGGUGGAACCCACCCAACCAGAGGUGGAUGCCUGACGUCUCCAGAACUCAACAUGUCUUCCAUGACUUCCAUGACUGCAAACUGGAUUGUGCCACUUCAUUUUAAAGGUUUCAAAGAAAUGAACAUUUAGCAUUCUGGUUAUGCAUGAUGACAAAACUACAAGUAAAUGACAUUUCACAUGACAUCAAAUUUCUCAGUAAACCUGGCUAUGCCUGAUUUUGUUGUAUCCAUCAUGUUUUCCUUGCUCUGCUUUCGUCCCGCCAAACUUGCAAAAGUCUAAAGGUAACAGCCUGACAUGUCUCCAGCUGAGCCAGAAUACCCACAGUCCUCCGGGGUGAGACUCAGCUUAUAGUUUAUUAACACUUUAACAAUUAACACUUUUUGGUUUAUUUCUUUGCUGACUGAAUCUGUGUUGGUAAUUUCUUACUUUAUUUGCUGAUAAGUUUCACUCACAACCAAGGAAGAAGAGAUGAACUAAAAGACUUAUUUUAAACAAAUUCUCACCUCAGCACCGCACUUCACAGGUGUAAACAGCCAUCAUUAGAGCUACUGCACCCUGCAUUACAAUCUACAUUGAUGCGAUAAGGGCAGACUGUGUGUCAUAUACUGUCAAUGUACUGUAUUGAUAUACUGUAUACUGUAAGAAAGAUAAGUGAUUGUCCCAUAUGAUGGAAAAGUUUCUGUUUUCCUAGAAUGACAUACUGAUGUGUGUGUUUGUUGUUCCUCCUUCUUUCCUGAUCUUUUAAGUAAAUGUACUCAGUGUCAACAGAGCAGUUCCUGUCAACUUUUAAACAAAGCUAGUAUGUUGGCAGCCUGAGUUUUCAGCUUGCUAGGGUCCACACCACACAUUCUUUAUAUUAUCUGUUUAAAUCUCUGAUCCACUAUCCCAUCCAGUCUACCCAAACUCUCAGUCUUUCCCACUUUAUUCGUUCGUUUGAUGUCUGCCCUCCCGGGAUGAUUGCGUGCUGCUUCGAAGAUGAUAGCAGGAAAAACAUUUUUAAAGGAGCAGUGUGACGUAGAAACCCUACAACAGUAAUUAAAUUUAAUUUUUGUGUAGUUCACCCAAAUUACAGAAAAAAAAAUAAAAAUCACACGCAGUCAAGUUUUGGUUUGGCAAAGUUUCAAUACUUGUGAAAAUGUGAUGUUUUUUGUGUAGUUGAUGUGGUUUAAAGGGACCCUUUAAAAAAUACAGACAUUUUGGUCACAGUUUUCCAACAUCUUAUUGGCUUGUGACUCUUUAUAACCAAGCCAUGCUGCACGCUGUGUGUGUGAUUUCAAGCAAAGAGUGACUUUCCCUUCUCAGACUGUUUCAGUUUAAAUUCUCCAGUAUUUCAAAAGAAAAAAUAAAUGAGAUUAGGAAAAAUUUGUUUUGUUUUUUUCUUUCCUAGCUUGUUGUUCAUUAUCUUGCAACUCCUCAGAUUUAUCUUGGUUUUAGGUGAAUGUGUUGUUCUCUGAGAGGUAUACCUUGUAAUGUUUAUGUAGAGAGAGUUAAACACUGGUGUUACUGGAGGUUCAGAACAAAACUAGUCGGACAAGAAAUCCUGCUUGGCAACAGAGUCAGAUUUAUCAUAGGAAAGAGUUGCUAAAGGCUGAGACACUUGCCGACCCUUCAAUGUCAUGAUUUGGAGGGUUUUUUUUAGAUAUAUCCUUUGGGUCGUCUGGUUGUCCCUGUUGCACACACAGUCUAGACACUGUGACCAAAAGAAGUGAUGAUAAUAAACAAAUUCAUAUCAACAAUUUCUGACUGAUUUG